AGUUAUAAAGAUUGAUUAUCUAAUUUUGAUUUACAAGACCAAGGUUUUAUUUAAACUAUUAUAAC
rnacentral:tRNA from 1 species